rnacentral:lncRNA from 1 species
GCUCGAGUACAAAAGAAGAAAAAGGUCAUUUAUUUCCUGAUGCAACUGGGAAGCCAAGAAUGAUUGCUUCCAGGGGCUCAAAUAAUAUCACCAGAGUUGUGUCUUUCUCUUUGUAACUCUCAGCUCAGUUAGACUCUGGUUUUACUCUCAGAAGAUUCUCUUUGUAGUGGGAAAAGAAUUACUGAGAAAUAGCUCCAAGCUCACCACAAUCUUAAAGCUUUGAAUUCAGAACAAGAGAUAAAAUUUCUCUUGAUCACUCUAGUGGGGAAAAAAAAGAGAUAGAGAUUCCAGGAGACUUUGGUGGAGCUUGAAUCAGAUAUCUUUUCCUGAACUCAUCACUGUGUCCCUGAUAUUUCAGGACUAACUGCCCGAGCCUGAGACACAAGAUGCCAGCUGCAGGAAGAAGUGGGCUAGCUGUUGACUCCUAAAUACCUGGAAGAGGUAAGCAACUCCUUUCUCCAAAAGAUAUUUGAAAUAGCCAGAAGAGAAAUAGAGAUAAUACAGCAGGAAAUAAAAUUCAAUGUGGAAAAUACAUUUCAAGAGGAGAAUAAAGGUAAGAAAAUCAAAAUAUACAGUAUAUG